UACAGAGGUCUCAAGCGUUGUUCGGAUUCAUUGGGCGUAAAGGGUGCGUAGGCGGCGCGGUAAGUCGGGUGUGAAAUCUCGGGGCUUAACUCCGAAACUGCAUUCGAUACUGUCGUGCUUGAGGACUGGAGAGGAGACUGGAAUUUACGGUGUAGCGGUGAAAUGCGUAGAUAUCGUAAGGAAGACCAGUGGCGAAGGCGGGUCUCUGGACAGUUCCUGACGCUGAGGCACGAAGGCCAGGGGAGCAAACGGG
rnacentral:rRNA from 1 species